GACGAACGCUGGCGGCGUGCUUAACACAUGCAAGUCGAACGAAGAGGCCCUGCUUGUUGGGUGGACUCGAGUCGCAAGCGUGUGUAUAACGCGUGAAUAACCUGCCCGUCACUGUGGUAUACCUUCAAAAAUUGGUGUCUUAUACCAUAUAAGAGCUCCUCCUGCGUCGUGUGUUGGGGAGAUUUUCGGCGGUUGGGGAUGGACUCGCGGCUUAUCAGCUUGUUGGUGGGGUAGUGGCUUACCAAGGCUGUGACGGGUAGCCGGCCUGAGAGGGUGACCGGCCACACUGGGACUGAGACACGGCCCAGACUCCUACGGGAGGCAGCAGUGGGGAAUAUUGCACAAUGGGCGGAAGCCUGAUGCAGCAACGCCGCGUGAGGGAUGACGGCCUUCGGGUUGUAAACCGCUUUCGGCUGGGAAGAAGCGAGAGUGACGGUAAUGGGUAAAGAAGCACCGGCUAACUACGUG
rnacentral:rRNA from 1 species